GGCUUGAUUAUGGCUCAGAUUGAACGCUGGCGGGAUGCUUUCAUAUUACGCAAGUCGAACGGCAGCACGACUUCGGUCUGGUGGUAUGAGUGGCGAACGGGUGAGUAAUGUAUCAACGCCUAGUAGCGGGGAUAACUACGCGGAAAGCGUAGCUACUACCGCAUAAUGCUCCUGGGGAAAGCGGGGACCUCUACCGCACUAUUAGAGCGGCCGAUAUCGGAUUAGCUAGUUGGUGGGUAACGCCUACCACAUGACGAUCCGUAGCUGUAUUUGAGAGACGACCAGCCACACCGGACUGACACGCUCCAGACUCCUACGGGAGGCAGCAGUGGGAAUUUUUUGGACAGCCGGGGAAACCCUGAUCCAGCCAUCCCGCGUGUGCGAUGAAGGCCUUUGGGUUGUAAAGCACUUUUUGGCAGGAAAGAAACGGCACGGGAAGAAAUACCUCGUGCAACUGACGGUACCUCUGCAGAAUAAGCGGCACCGGCUAACUACGCCAGCAGCCGCAAUACGUAGGGUGCAAGUGCUGAACUGGAAUUACUGGGCGUAAAGCGUGCGCAGGCGGUUCGAAAGAAAGAGAUGUGAAAUCCCAGAGCUUAACUUUGAACCGCAUUUUUAACUACCGAAACAGAGUGUGUCAGAGGGAGAAUUCCGCGUGUAGCAGUGAAAUGCGAUAUGGCGGAGGAACACCGAUGGCGAAGGCAGCCUCCUGGGAUAACACUGAGCCUAUGCACGAAAGCGGGGGAGCAAACAGGAUUAUUACCCUGUAGUCCACGCCCUAAACGAUGUCAGUCUUAGCGUUGUUAGCCUUUCGGCUCGGUAGCGCAGUUAACGCGUGAAGUUGACCGCCUGGGAGUACGGUCGCAAGAUUAAAACUCAAAGGAAUUGACGGGGGACCCGCACAAGCGGUGGAUGAUGUGGAUUAAUUCGAUAAACGCGAAAAACCUACCUACCCUUGACAUGUCUGGAAUCCCGCAGAUUUGGGAGUGCUCGCAAGAGAACCGGAACGACAGGUGCUGCAUGGCUGUCGUCAGCUCGUCGAGAUGCUGGGUUAAGUCCGCAACGAGCGCAACUCUGUUGGGCUAGUUACAUGAAAGGGCACGCACAGACUGCCGGUGACAAACGAUGAAGGUGGAUGGUCAAGUCCGCGACGCCCUUAUGGUAGGGCUUCACACGUCAUACAAUGAAGCCGGGACAGAGGGUCGCCAACCCGAGGCGAGGGAGCCAAUCCUAGAAACCUGAUCAGAAGUUCCGGAUCGCAGUCUGCAACUCGACUGCGUGGUCGGAAUCAAGCAGGUCGCGUGAUCAGCAUGUCGCGGUGAAUACGUUCCCGGUCUUGCGGACACACCGCCCGUCACACCAUGGGAGGGGCUUUACCAGAAGUACAGCCUAAUCCGCAGGAGCGGGCGAUUACCACGGUAGGAUUCAUGACUGGGGUGAAGUCGCCACAGCAGC
rnacentral:rRNA from 1 species